UACAGAGGUCCCGAGCGUUGUUCGGAUUCACUGGGCGUAAAGGGUGCGUAGGUGGUGAGGUAAGUCGGAUGUGAAAUCUCCGGGCUCAACCCGGAAACUGCAUUGGAAACUACCUUGCUUGAGGACUGGAGAGGAGACUGGAAUUUACGGUGUAGCGGUGAAAUGCGUAGAUAUCGUAAGGAAGACCAGUGGCGAAGGCGGGUCUCUGGACAGUUCCUGACGCUGAGGCACGAAGGUCAGGGGAGCAAACGGG
rnacentral:rRNA from 1 species